rnacentral:rRNA from 1 species
AUCAGGUAGGAACACCCGCUGAACUUAAGCAUAUCAAUAAGCGGAGGAAAAGAAAAUAACAAUGAUUCCCCUAGUAACUGCGAGUGAAGAGGGACAAGCUCAAAUUUUAAAUCUGUCGGGUUUUUCCUGACCGAGUUGUAAUUUGAAGAAGCGUUUUCUGCACUGUUUGAUCAGCCCAAGUCCUAUUGAAUGAGGCAUCAUGGAGGGUGAUAAUCCCGUCCGGUUGAUCAUUGUGCUCUACGAUACGCUUUCAAAGAGUCAAGUUGUUUGGGAUUGCAGCUUAAAAUGGGAGGUAAAUUUCUCCUAAGGCUAAAUAACGGCGAGAGACCGAUAGCGAACAAGUACCGUGAGGGAAAGAUGAAAAGAACUUUGAAAAGAGAGUUAAACAGUACGUGAAAUUGUUGAAAGGGAAACGAUUGAAGCCAGUCGUACUUUCGGGUAAUCAGCCUUUCGGGUGCAAUUCUGUGAGGUGUGAGGAGUUAAACGCCUUCAUGUUUUGCAUAUUCGUGCUCUUGGGUGUACUUGCCCGUGUGGUUGGUUAACAUCAAUUUUGGACGCCAUAAAAUGACUGGAGGAAUGUAGCUUCGAUCUCGUAUUGAAGUGUUAUAGCCUUCGGUAGAUGUGGUUUUCGAGAUUGAGGAUUGCAACGGAUACCCUUCGGGGCUACCUAUCUGAUCUCUGAUCGUUGCUCUGGUGUCGAAAGCUUGCUUACGGUUAUCAAAGUCGAUGGUCAAUAGGUUAGAAUAGGUUAAAUUCGUUAAGGAUGUUGACGUAAUGGCUUUAAACGACCCGUCUUGAAACACGGACCGAGGAGUCUAACAUAUAUGCGAGUGUU